rfam:Schistosoma curassoni strain Dakar, Senegal genome assembly, scaffold: SCTD_scaffold0004576
AUCCAGCUGACGAGUCUCAGAUAGGAUGAAACGCGUGUCCCGGAU